rnacentral:rRNA from 1 species
GAGUUUGAUCAUGGCUCAGGAUGAACGCUGGCGGCGUGCUUAACACAUGCAAGUCGAACGGAGGUGUGCCCGGAAGUUUUCGGACGGAAAGGAGCACCUGAGUGGCGGACGGGUGAGUAACGCGUGGGGAACCUGCCCUGCACAGCGGGAUACCAUCUGGAAACAGAUGCUAAAACCGCAUAAGCGCACAAGAGGCGCAUGCCUCGGUGUGAAAAACUCCGGUGGUGCAGGAGGGACCCGCGUCUGAUUAGGCAGUUGGCGGGGUAACGGCCCACCAAACCGACGAUCAGUAGCCGGCCUGAGAGGGUGGACGGCCACAUUGGGACUGAGAGACGGCCCAAACUCCUACGGGAGGCAGCAGUGGGGGAUAUUGCACAAUGGGGGAAACCCUGAUGCAGCGACGCCGCGUGAGUGAAGAAGUAUUUCGGUAUGUAAAGCUCUAUCAGCAGGGAAGAAGGAAGACGGUACCUGAGUAAGAAGCCCCGGCUAACUACGUGCCAGCAGCCGCGGUAAUACGUAGGGGGCAAGCGUUAUCCGGAAUUACUGGGUGUAAAGGGAGCGUAGACGGCAAGGCAAGUCUGGAGUGAAAGCCCGGCGCUUAACGCGGGGACUGCUUUGGAAACUGUUUAGCUGGAGUGCCGGAGAGGUAAGCGGAAUUCCUGGUGUAGCGGUGAAAUGCGUAGAUAUCAGGAAGAACACCAGUGGCGAAGGCGGCUUACUGGACGGUAACUGACGUUGAGGCUCGAAAGCGUGGGGAGCAAACAGGAUUAGAUACCCUGGUAGUCCACGCGGUAAACGAUGAUUGCUAGGUGUAGGGUGGGUAUGGACCCAUCGGUGCCGCAGCGAACGCAGUAAGCAAUCCACCUGGGGAGUACGUUCGCAAGAAUGAAACUCAAAGGAAUUGACGGGGACCCGCACAAGCGGUGGAGCAUGUGGUUUAAUUUGAAGCAACGCGAAGAACCUUACCAGGUCUUGACAUCCCUCUGACGGAGCCGUAAAGGGCUUUUUCCUUUGGGACAGAGGAGACAGGUGGUGCAUGGUUGUCGUCAGCUCGUGUCGUGAGAUGUUGGGUUAAGUCCCGCAACGAGCGCAACCCUUACCCUUAGUAGCCAGCGGAAGAAGCCGGGCACUCUAGGGGGACUGCCGGGGAUAACCCGGAGGAAGGUGGGGAUGACGUCAAAUCAUCAUGCCCCUUAUGAUCUGGGCUACACACGUGCUACAAUGGCGUAAACAAAGGGAAGCGAACCCGCGAGGGGGAGCGGAACCCAAAAAUAACGUCCCAGUUCGGACUGCAGCCUGCAACCCGGCUGCACGAAGCUGGAAUCGCUAGUAAUCGCGGAUCAGAAUGCCGCGGUGAAUACGUUCCCGGGUCUUGUACACACCGCCCGUCACACCAUGGGAGUCGGAAAUGCCCGAAGUCUGUGGCCCAACCGAGAGGGGGGAGCAGCCGAAGGCAGGUCGGAUGACUGGGGUGAAGUCGUAACAAGGUA